UAUUCAGUUCUGACAACUACUCUGAAAACAUCCUUGUCUGUGCGCCAAAACAGUGGUUUUAUAUCAGCUAAUGUUGGCGCCAACGUGACAUUACCAUGUUUCUAUGAAAGUGAAUUUGCAGCAGUGUUCUACUGGUAUAAGCAGACGGUGGGACAGAAACCAAAGCUCAUCUCUACCUUCUACAAAUAUGAUGAAAGUGGCACUUUUAUUGAUGAAUUGAAAACUGAUCCACGCUUCAAAUUGGAAACUAAAAACGGUAAAAAUCACUUGACAAUCACAUCAUUGCGCAUUUCAGACUCAGCAACUUACUACUGCGUCAGUAGCUAUGCAGGCUAUAAGUUUGAAUUUGCAGAGGGCAUCACCGUGAGUGUAAAGGGUUCAGGCUUGAAUAUCCCAAUUUCGGUCCAUCAGUCAGCAUCUGAGACCAUCCAGCCAGGAGGCUCUGUGACUCUGAACUGUACAGUUCAAACUGGGAGCUGUGAUGGAGAACACAGUGUUUACUGGUUCAAAAACUCUGAAGAAUCUCAUCCAGGACUCAUUUACAGCCAUGGAGGC